rnacentral:sRNA from 1 species
GAAUGUAGAUGAAAAGAGAGAGAUGCGUCAACAUACCUCUCUAGUGUAGAGCCGUUUGAGACGGUGACCUUUUGGAUUAAUUAAAAA